UCUAGUUGUACUCUAGUUGCGAAUUGUUUUGACCCGUAUGGGGGUUUUUCAUUAUACAGUUCUAACACUACUCGGCCACUGGGAGACAGUUCAGUCUCCCAGUGGCAUUUGAUGUGAACCAGCACAACAAACUGCUCUACCAGGAGAAGACACUGCAGGAUGUGACAGGAAAGUACAGUCUGGGCGUGAAAGGAACGGCAUGUGCUGCAAUGCAGGUCAGUAUACACAUAGUAUUAGUAUUUUUAGGUCCUUUUCUUACUCUAAAUAUUGAUAUUCUUGUUCACUUUUUGUGAAUAUUAAUUCUUCCUUGUCUAUCGGUUUGACAGAUUUCUCUUCUUUAUAGCAUCCCAAUUCCUGGGAAUAUAACUGCUCUCAGUGUUGAGGUAAAACCAGAGGCCAACUGCACCAUCAAAUCCACCAGACCUAAACUCACUCUGAAGAUAAAAUCUUUUUAAGUGAUGAUCAAAAACCAGGUCCACAAUGCAUAAAUGCAUCAAGUCAAGAGGUAAUUCUCCAAAUUGAAGCUGAUCGAGGCCCAGCUUAGAAAAAGAUACGGAGAGAAAUGCUCUCAGAUCUUCUGUUGUCCAUUCAGAGGGACAUCCCAGUUUACCUUAAUGAAUUCAUAAAUACUUACAAAGUCAUGGCCAAAAGAAUUCUCUACUUAUUUUACCCAUCUUGUUUGACAAGACUGCUCAAAACAGCUAAUUCUAAAGAUGUUGUUAACAAAGCCUCGUCUGUGCAUAAAACUAGUACAACUCAGUGGACCAGGAAGUGAUAUCUGACUGUGUAUCACAUUUUUUAUGCUUCCAUUACAGUUAUAGUGGGAAGGAGACCAAUACCAACAUGGUGAUCCUGGACAUCAGGAUGUCCAGGAUCUGGAGGUAACUUAUUACUGUAGUUUUAACUUGUAAUAUUUGUGUCAGGUGUUGACAUCAUGGUAACCCAGCUGAAUAUCAUGUCCUCACAGAUCAAAGGUGCUCUGCUGGUGGAUAAUGUUGAACAAAAGGAAGAUCAUGUUCUUUUGUAUAUACGGGAGUUACUGAAGGACAUAGCCAUCAACCACAGAUUAAAGCUCAUGCAGGAGAUCCCAGUGCAGAACCUGAAGCCAGCCGUGAUCAAGAUCUAUGACUACUACUAGCCAAGUAAAUUGCACACUCAGUCCUCUCAUAUACAGUGUUUCACGCAGGUCAAAUCUUCACAGUAUUUGUAUUUUAUUUUAGAUAGAAAUGCCUGAAAGUUGCAAUACAUACAUUCAGUCACUAGAUGUCCCACUAUAACACCAGUGUCCCAGACCAAGACAAAUGUGUGCAUCAUUUUCUCAAUAAUAAUAAUAAUACACUUAAAAACAUUUCUUCUAAACUAUAUGAUAUGAUUGCAGUCAAGCUCAUGUUCCACAAUGGCAGAAUUUUUGGACAUAUUUCCAUGAUGAAGUUUCUCCCCAAAGCUGUUUCAACACACCAGUGUAAAAAGAUAAAAGUCAUUUGAUGAGA